UACGGGGGGGGCAAGCGUUGGUUCGGAAUUACUGGGCGUAAAGGGCUCGUAGGCGGCCAACUAAGUCGGAUGUGAAAUCCCCAGGCUUAACCUGGGAACUGCAUCCGAUACUGGAUGGCUUGAAUCCGGGAGAGGGAUGCAGAAUUCCAGGUGUAGCGGUGAAAUGCGUAGAUAUCUGGAGGAAUACCGGUGGCGAAGGCGGCAUCCUGGACCGGCAUUGACGCUGAGGAGCGAAAGCUAGGGGAGCAAACGGG
rnacentral:rRNA from 1 species